rnacentral:rRNA from 1 species
CACGUGGAUAACCUGACCUUAGGUGGAGAAUAACCUCGGGAAACUGAGAAUAAUACUCCAUAGAUCUUUGAGGCUGGAAUGCGCUAAGAUUGAAAGCUUCGGCGCCUAAGGAUGAGUCUGCGGACUAUCAGGUUGUAGUCAGGGUAAAGACCUGACUAGCCUACGACGGAUACGGGUUGUGAGAGCAAUAACCCGGAGAUGAUAUCUGAGACACGAUAUCAGGCCCUACGGGGCGCAGCAGGCGCGAAAACUUCACAAUGCGCGAAAGCGCGAUGAGGGGAUCCCAAGUGCUUGCACGUAAGUGUAAGCUGUUUUUCUGUUUAAAAAGCAGAGAGAGUAAGGGCUGGGUAAGACGGGUGCCAGCCGCCGCGGUAAUACCUGCAGCUCAAGUGGUGACCGCUAUUAUUGGGCCUAAAACGUCCGUAGCCGGCUGAGUAAAUGCCUGGGUAAAUCGUGCCGCUUAACGGUACGAAUUCCGGGUAGACUGCUUAGCUUGGGACCGGAAGAAGUUAGAGGUACUCCUGGGGUAGGGGUGAAAUCCUGUAAUCCUGGGGGGACCACCAGUGGCGAAGGCGUCUAAC